GACGAACGCUGGCGGCGUGCCUAAUACAUGCAAGUAGAACGCUGAAGAGAGGAGCUUGCUCUUCUUGGAUGAGUUGCGAACGGGUGAGUAACGCGUAGGUAACCUGCCUGGUAGCGGGGGAUAACUAUUGGAAACGAUAGCUAAUACCGCAUAAAAUUGAUUAUUGCAUGAUAAUUAAUUGAAAGAUGCAAUUGCAUCACUACCAGACGGACCUGCGUUGUAUUAGCUAGUUGGUGAGGUAACGGCUCACCAAGGCGACGAUACAUAGCCGACCUGAGAGGGUGAUCGGCCACACUGGGACUGAGACACGGCCCAGACUCCUACGGGAGGCAGCAGUAGGGAAUCUUCGGCAAUGGGGGGAACCCUGACCGAGCAACGCCGCGUGAGUGAAGAAGGUUUUCGGAUCGUAAAGCUCUGUUGUAAGAGAAGAACGGGUGUGAGAGUGGAAAGUUCACACUGUGACGGUAUCUUACCAGAAAGGGACGGCUAACUACGUGCCAGCAGCCGCGGUAAUACGUAGGUCCCGAGCGUUGUCCGGAUUUAUUGGGCGUAAAGCGAGCGCAGGCGGUUAGAUAAGUCUGAAGUUAAAGGCUGUGGCUUAACCAUAGUAUGCUUUGGAAACUGUUUAACUUGAGUGCAGAAGGGGAGAGUGGAAUCCCAUGUGUAGCGGUGAAAUGCGUAGAUAUAUGGAGGAACACCGGUGGCGAAAGCGGCUCUCUGGUCUGUAACUGACGCUGAGGCUCGAAAGCGUGGGGAGCAAACAGGAUUAGAUACCCUGGUAGUCCACGCCGUAAACGAUGAGUGCUAGGUGUUAGGCCCUUUCCGGGGCUUAGUGCCGCAGCUAACGCAUUAAGCACUCCGCCUGGGGAGUACGACCGCAAGGUUGAAACUCAAAGGAAUUGACGGGGGCCCGCACAAGCGGUGGAGCAUGUGGUUUAAUUCGAAGCAACGCGAAGAACCUUACCAGGUCUUGACAUCCCUCUGACCGCUCUAGAGAUAGAGUUUUCCUUCGGGACAGAGGUGACAGGUGGUGCAUGGUUGUCGUCAGCUCGUGUCGUGAGAUGUUGGGUUAAGUCCCGCAACGAGCGCAGCCCCUAUUGUUAGUUGCCAUCAUUCAGUUGGGCACUCUAGCGAGACUGCCGGUAAUAAACCGGAGGAAGGUGGGGAUGACGUCAAAUCAUCAUGCCCCUUAUGACCUGGGCUACACACGUGCUACAAUGGCUGGUACAACGAGUCGCAAGCCGGUGACGGCAAGCUAAUCUCUGAAAGCCAGUCUCAGUUCGGAUUGUAGGCUGCAACUCGCCUACAUGAAGUCGGAAUCGCUAGUAAUCGCGGAUCAGCACGCCGCGGUGAAUACGUUCCCGGGCCU
rnacentral:rRNA from 1 species